GGACAACGUGAGAAGGAAAAGCUGUCAUAAAUACAUAUGUGCAUAUAUAUAUCUCUAACAGUGGAAUUGCCUUCAAAUGAAUUACCUGAUUGUUACUAGUGUAGGUAAGAUUUCUUGAUGUCGUCUGAAAUGUAGAUGCAAAGCUGUUGUGUAUCUGUCACUCAAAACAGAGUCCUUCGCUGCUUUGUGGUAUGAAUUAUGGAAUUAUGCUUCACUGGAACAUAAUGGCAAGUGGUGGUUAAUUUCUUGUGCAGUUACCCAUAGAAUGGACUGACUUUGAGUGGUCUGUUUUAGCAGUUUCUGUUACUUUUGACUCUUAGGAAAAAUUACUAUAAAUGCCACCAGAUACUCAGCACGCAUUUCGUGAUGUGCCUUGCUUUUUGUGGUUUUUUUUUUUCUGGAAUCCUACAUUCUCGGUCUCCUUAUGAGUUCAUGGUGCUAUUAUAGUUUGCAAGUUAGAUGUAACCCAAGGCUAAGGGUUAAAAAAAAAAAAAAAAAUUGACAUGGGAUGUGUUUUUCCAUUACAAUGCAUAGGGUAUACAGUGGUUUGUGGUAUAGUCAUCUUUGUGCUAGCCCCACCGUGGCACUGUAAAGGUUUACCGUUCAUGUAAAUAACAGCUUGUGAAAGUACUUCAGAAUUAACUCUUAGCUGUUCCUGUUGACAUGAUUGAUUUGAAGUUGUUUUGGAACUGGACAGUGAUGUGCAAAAGUGCUUUCCGCUUUUCUCAGAGCGGGAUCUGCACAUGCUGUUUCUUGGAUCUUGCCUGGGAUUUCUUUUUUUUUCUCUUUAAUCUUCUGGUUUUAAAGGAAUGGCCUAUGUGAGUAACUGCUGCUGAGACAGGAAAAAUUCUUGUGCUACUUUUAGCGCUCCAUUCUUCCCCCUCCCAAAAUGUUAUGUUUUUAUUCCCUAACACUUAAAAGAAAGACUUUGUUCAAGUUAUUUGAUAGUAUGCUAAACCUAGGUGUUAUUUGUUCAACUUUGCUAUAGUGAUUCUGUAUGAGAUUAUGUCCAAAGGUACACAUACUUAGAAAAGCGGAAUAUUUUGUCUUUAAUCAGAAUUAAAGCUAUUAGGAUUUCUUAGUCCUGGGAAGGCUAGACUAAUAAGCGUUGGAAAGAUAAUGAUUUUCAAGCAGGCAGUGAAUGACGAAAUGUGAACCAAGGACAGCCAGUUGUCUUCUGUGAUGAUCCCAUGACUGUAACUGUUUCGUUCCUGUUAGCUGGAUGUUCUGUCUGGUGACAUAGGAAUAUGAAUGGUGAUAGAAGGUAGUGAACUUAUUUAUUGAUCUAAUUCAUUGCCAGCACCUCUACAGAGAUUUGUUCUUAAAGCAACUGGGCACACUUAACAUCUCAGUUAGCUAAUAUUAAAAAAAACCCAUGAUUUUGUUUGGCUUGAUAAUUCACGUAAGUAUUAAUAAGGACUUUGAAACAGAAUCUACAGAUCUUCAUUUCUGUAAAAAGCAAAAAGUGUUGGUGGUAGUUUUCCAAGUUUUCUUUGCUAUAAAUGUUUAGCAUUUCCUAGUUCUAUAUAGUAUUUGGACUUGGAAGAAAGGAAGUGUUCUCUGUUAACAAAACGUGUUGUCUCAUAAUUAAUAUAGUAGACAUUUUGGUUAGUGCUGGCUUGGCCUUCCCACGUGCCAGAUAACAGUACUUCCUUUUUUUUUUUUUAUAAGCUCAGUUCAUGUGCAGUUUUGUCAGUCCAGUCUUGCGGAAUUUUACUUAUGCGUACAUUUAUAUUGUACUAGUAUCUAAUCAUGUACUUACACAGCUGUCAUAUGUCUGCACAUGAAAAAACAAAUUGAAGUGGCUUGUAACUGCAGGAAAUAAAUAAAUUUUUUAAAAUGACACUGCAUUUCUGUUUGUUUGAGGGUUUUUUGCCAAGUGUUCCUUUUUUCUAUACAUGAAAUACAAAGUACUGAACAUCUUGACAUGUCUCAAACAUGGCGGCUGUUUGCAACUGAAAAAGGUGGGGUCUUCUGAAGUGUUGUCCAAAUGCAUAUUUAUGCCGUGAUUCCGGGUGAGCUCACACUGCUACUGGGAUUGCUGGGAAGGGGUGACGGGAAUUCAGCAUGCUAGCUUUGCAGUUCUGUUGGUGGGGAGGAGGAGUUGAAGCGAGUGUUGCAGAACUAGGCAAUGCGGGGCCACAAAGGCAACAAUGAAUUUUGGGAAUGGAAGAGGGAGAUCUGACACACCAUCCUGGUGAUGCGAAGCCUGUGACUAUUGCUUAUGUUAGAGAGUCAUGGAGUAGUUUCUGAUAUUUUUCAGUGCACUAAUUUUGGAGCAGAGGAAAAUACCUGAAUGACAACCAGGUUGGUGGUCCAUAGGCCAGAAGUGAAAUUGUAGAUGCACUAGCAACUUUGUCACAUGCUGUAUAUGCAGGUGCCAUGUACAGUUUACCUUUGGAGGGGAGAGCUAGGGAGGAAUACAAAGGUCCUUGCUUGCUGAGUGAGUGGAGUGCCUGUGCAGGCUAGCGUUUGGGGUUUGGAUUAAUUACCUGUGGGUUUUGUGACUGAUUAAAAGUAAUACAUUCAAGUCCUCAGCGACUCUAGGCUGGCCUCCAUGAAGCACUGGCUUUCCUUGCUGUGAACUCGCAGCUGCAUUUGGCAGAAAUGCUUGAGCUCAUGUUUUUCUUCAUACAAAGAACAACUGUUCAACACUUGGAGGGCAUCCCCCCCUUCUGUAUGUAUGAAAUAAUCUGCAUCUGUGAUUCCUUCUCCCCAGCAAAUCUGCAAAACACCUGUUGGGACAAGAGCUUUGAGAAGGCUGAGGCUUGGCAUCCUGGUUGAUUGAAUUUAUUCAAGUAUUACUUUACUGGACUGCUGAGAUCUUCUUUGUUUGCAACUGUAGAUGUUAAAUUAAACAUACUUGUGAAAUCUAAGAGAAGAUGUUGAAGCUAAAGUAAUCAUUUUCUGCUCCCUUGUUAUAAUUACUUGUAUUUUUCAGUAGCUAAAUCUACGUGGAGGAAAAUAAGAAUGAAAAUUAUCGAAAUAAUAGGAGUACCUUAAAGUUAUGGAGGAGAAAUGGGCAUUAGUUUAAGAAAAUACAGCACAAUUAGGAAGACAUACAAAUGUAGCAUCAAAAGCUGUAAAACUUGGCCCACUAAGGAAACUGUUGAAAUAUCCAACAGCACAAAAGUUUAUUUUUACAUAAACAGUUUGAGAUGGGCAUCUUUGACCGUUACCCAGUUUGUACCACCCCAUUCAUCUCCCAUAUAUAUUUUGGUGUUGAAUUUCAGUUUUGAGAAGUAUUUGAAUUUGAGAUUUCUAGGUGGUGGUCUGCUCUGAGCAUCAAGGGCCUUGGCAGGUAAAUUGCGACAGAAUGCUGAUCUCUGCAGGCUGCGAGAAGUUUUUCUCCCAUUUUCCUUUUUGUACCUCUACAGCAUCAGGGACUGUACAUGUCUAUUACUGUGUUCUGAUAUUUAGGAGAUUAAAUGUUUAAAAUGUGUUCAAACUUCAUAAUGUUAGUACGGCUUAGUGUUUCAUGUGCUUUGAGUUGCGUGAAUUGUAGCUCACAAUAUAUUGAAGUGUGUCUGUGCAGAUUCAUUUUUGGAUAUCUUGAAAGCCAGUGCUGUAUAUUUAUUGUUAAGCUAAUUUUUAGUUCCUGUAAACAUCCUACACUCAGCUAUAACAAGUGGUGGGGCUGGGGGGUGGAUGUUUACUUCAACUGACUUGGAAAGGCAGCUUUCCUCAAUGAUCAAGUGACAUAUUGGCAAGAACUGAAUACUAUUUUUCAGUAGUAUUCAAAUAGCUUAUUGUAUUUAAAUACUCUUAAUUUCUGUGGAAGUAGUAUGUAUUUCUAUAAAUGUCUUAAUACUCAAAUUAUGUUUUAGAUGGGCUGUAUAAAACCGCAUUUAUUGUGAAACAGUCUUUAACUGAUGAACUCUGUAUCGUUUUUUGAAUUACAAAUAAACUGUGAUAAUAUAUCUUUGCUUGAAGAGUAAUUCUGAUACCCUGAUGACAGAGAAAUAAUCUAAAAUCUUGUAUUCAGUGUUCAAGUAAUAAAUGACUGCUGCAAUUGAGAAUUGUUAUCUACUUGCUCAUCGUCGAAGGAGGAAUAGAUGUAUUGGGUAAUGCUAAAAUAAACCCAACCAACCAGCAGUAAGACUACUCAGACUUAACCAUUUCUGUUGCCCUGUAUAUCUAACAAAAUUAAAACAAUCUCAUUUUGACAGGCAAAAUCUGGAUAGGAGAACCAGGAAGGAGAUGAGCAUCUCUCGUUUUCCUAUAACUCUUCUUACAUCAUGUCUUACCUCUUGAAAUCAUAUUUUUACUAGUGAUGAAUGUGGUGUUAAAUGGAGUAUGACUCCAACAUCUGGAGAAUAUUAAGUACCAAAUUUAACAGUUCAAAAUGUUUUUAUUCAAAUGGAAGAAUGAAGGACGUGGGAUUCAUCAUUGUGAAGCAUAAUCUGGCUUCUUGAGGAUCGUUUUUACUGUUUUGUAUCCCUGUGAAUAUCAGAAAGGCUCGGACUGAGAUGUAACAUUUCUUAUGUAGAAGGCCAAACACAUUCUGAAAAUUAUCAAGAUCAUCUUUCCUCAUUUAAAUUCACAUACAUGAGCAUCGUUUUGCUAUAGUAAAGCUUUUUGCUGUGGUUUUAUUUUUACUUCCAAACUGAGGUCUUUUUAAUUGGUAGAAGUCCUUGUGAGCAGGCUGUAUGGCAUAUACCCUACUGCAAACAGCUGCGUGCAAGAAAAUGUAUCAAAUUCUGGGGUUUCGGAUAAUUCUAGUGUGUGAUCGCUGCAGUACAUCUAUGUAUUUACUGUGUGUGCGUGUCUGAGUACAUAAAUCAAGACCUAGUAAAACUUACUUUAGUUCAUCUGUUUAAUUGGUACAAAACUCUGACUUCCCCAGUUGGGGUGACCUAAGGGAGAAUGAGGGAUGUGAACUGUCCUUCUCGGGAAAUACCAUGUAAUUAAAAAAGCUUACCUCCAGAAACGAAUCUGCGUGUCUUUCUAGUCUGUUCUGUUCCCCGGAGUUAGAUGCCUUGUGGCAUGCCUAGAACUUCAAGUUGCUGGUGAAAAAUUAUCCUGCCAGGGGUUACCAUGCUCUGGGAAUGCCAGAUUUUGAUUGCAACAUAAAGUGAUGAGGCGAGAAGGAUAUACCUGUGAACCUGUAACGUGUUCCAGCUUUGCCGUUCUGUGUUGUGGUGAUUAACGUUGACAUAUGCUCUUGACCUGUCCAAUGAAUUUCUACCCUUGUUCGUAUAAAGGAACACGCAGUACAUACACAUCUCUCUAUUCCGUCACUGAGUGCAGUGAAAUGCACUUGCUGUUUGUUCUCUCUCUGGAUCAGUUCCCUUUGCUUGAUGUAUUUUGCGGUACUGCACACUGAUGUAGUGGUGGGAUAGUCCAGUGACAAAAAAAAGGGUUUGCUGGCAAGAAGGAACCCUCCAAUCAACAUUACUGUCAACCAAAAGGUGUAAUGAUUCAUCUUUUCUGCAAGUACCUCGAUCCAGAGCUAACUUAAUUAGUAGCAUGGAUAGUGAGUAAACGCUCUGAGCAGAUCAGGUGUGAAUAUAUAUUUGGUAUUUCAGUAGGAUUUUUUUUUUAAAAUGCAUUUGAGAUCUAGAAUUCAUAUUGCAGAAACUUAAGUUUCGGCAAAACCGGAGUCUUGAUGUUGGUUUAUUAUAGAAAGAAUAGUUGUGACUGCUUUUGAUGGGAUGCUUAAAAACUAAAUAGGAGUUAAAAAAAAAAAAAAGCUUAUUGAAGCUUGAAAUUUAAUGUAUUUUGAAUAGUUGGGGUUUGCAGGAGUUUGAGUUUUGUAGUGGUUUCAGAUUUGGGGGAGUUAAGUUUUGUUUAGCUACUCCUUGGAUAAAUGGGCAGUAGAGUACAUUACAAUGAUCCUCUUGUCAAACAAUUUCAAGUAGCUUGGCUCCUGGGAAAGGAGAGAAUGCACUCCCUGGAAAGUGUCAGGACCAGUAUCAUGAGAUGAAAUUUCUAAAGGUAAGCUACGCUGUUGGGGGAGGGUGGUGGUAGUGGUGGUCUGUUCUUUUUUCUAAGUGAGGAUUCGGUAGGACAAUGAGUAGCAUGCCUGUGUGCAUCCUUCAGUGUGCUUGGCUGCACGUAUGGCUGUUGCGUAGGCUGCUAACUUAUUUUACUUUUCUUGUGAAAAUCUUAAUUUGAGAAUUAAAUAGACUAAUUCUUGUACUGUUCCUCCCCAGCCAUAUUUAUUGGGUAAUGCUUGUUCUGGUUUGUGCUAAAGUAAAACAAAAAGUUAAACUUCAACCUAGAAUAUGUAAUCAAAGAUUCCAAGCAUAAAAUAACACUGCAGAAUUUGAAGCUCCGUUUUAAAUCAUGUAGUUCACUUUUUUCUUCCCAUUGCAUUGGUGGUUUUUGAAGAGAUACGUCAUAAUCCUAGAGCGACAGCAUGAAACAAAACUGGAUAAAUAGCUGGGAAAAGGGUACAGCGUGCACGGUUUGUGAGUCUCUGGGAGUUUCACAUAAUGGGGUGGAACAUUAAAUGUGUUCUUCCGUGGCGAUUUUGAAAAUACACGUUGAUUCCUCUGUUUAGUUCCUUCUGGUUUUCUCUUGUGCUAAAAAUCCAAAUAUUUAAAUAAAAGUACGUUGAUACCCGC